rnacentral:rRNA from 1 species
UACAGAGGGGGCUAGCGUUGUUCGGAAUUACUGGGCGUAAAGGGCGCGUAGGCGGCCCUCUAAGUCGAACGUGAAAUCCCCGGGCUCAACCCGGGAACUGCGUCCGAUACUGGCAGGCUUGAAUCCGGGAGAGGGAUGCGGAAUUCCAGGUGUAGCGGUGAAAUGCGUAGAUAUCUGGAGGAACACCGGUGGCGAAGGCGGCAUCCUGGACCGGUAUUGACGCUGAGGCGCGAAAGCCAGGGGAGCAAACGGG